UACAGAGGGUGCGAGCGUUAAUCGGAAUUACUGGGCGUAAAGCGCGCGUAGGCGGCUUUGCAAGUCGGGUGUGAAAUCCCCAGGCUUAACCUGGGAACUGCAUUCGAGACUGCAUUGCUAGAGUAUGGGAGAGGGAAGUGGAAUUUCCGGUGUAGCGGUGAAAUGCGUAGAUAUCGGAAGGAACAUCAGUGGCGAAGGCGACUUGCUGGGCCUGCUUUGACACUCAGACGCGAAAGCAUGGGGAGCGAACGGG
rnacentral:rRNA from 1 species